GCCGUGUGUCGAUACUUCUACUCCAA
rnacentral:piRNA from 1 species